CAUGGUCCAUUUGGGUUGCACUUCACCGACACAAUUUAUAUGGAUAAUCUUUUGAGAAUAGUAUGGUUAUGAUUAAUAUUAAUAUGUUAUUAUGGAAUCAUAUUAUUUAAUUAGUAUUGAUCAAGAAUUAAUUUAUAAUUAAUUAAGUGAUCAAAAGGAACUAAUUAAAUAUGGACUCUUAUAUAUAUGGAAUGGGCCAAGUUCAUUUAGGUUGGGCUAAGCUUUCAUGGAUAGUCCAUGGAGUGUUUAACCCAUGGAUCCUAGGAAAUGAAAGGUCAUGGGUAUUAGGGUUUAACCCUAAUCCUCCAUACUAUAUAAAGAUGUCUUUGGUUGGUGAAAUUGGCACUAGUGUGGAUACACUAAAGAAGGGCUAGCCAAUUUCACUAGAGAGAACCAAGUAAUCAUAUUCUCUAAAGUAUUCCAAGGUGUCUUGGUGAUUUGUGAUUCCACUUGAGGCUUCCACACUAUUGGGGCUAAGCUCUUAAAGCUUGAAGACAUCAAGCUACAUCAAGAGGUAUGUAUUCUAUCUUGUUACAUUCAUAGUUUUUGUAUGCUAGAUUAGGAUAAUACCUUGGAUGUUCUUAUUUGCAUGUAUAAUAGAGAAAACAUAGAUCCAAGGUAUUUAGGGUUGCAUGUACACUUAGGAAGUGUUAGAAUGCUCAAAACCCAACAGUGGUAUCAGAGCCACGGGUUGUUUUCUGUUAUAUUGAUGCAAAUAUUUUAUUUUCAAAGUUGAAAAAAAAAAAAAAAAAAAACAUGAAGUUUGUCAAAUUUUAAGAUAAUUACUUGUUCUUGUGAAAAACUAAUUAUUUGUAAAAUUUGAAUAAUUUGCUUUAUGAGUUGAAUUAGGUCAAAUUUAAUAAAAGAUAAAAUAAUAUGAUUAUUUUAUUAGUUUUAAAAGUUUGAUCUAAAGAGUUUUAUUUUUUGAAACCUCCAUAAGUUAUGGAUAUGAAAAGGUUUUAAAAAAAAAAUUGAUUCAAAGUUUUUUUGGAGUUACAAAAUUUGGUGUUAAUGUUUUAAAGGAUUCCAUAACUUAAGAAUAAGUUAUGGAUCACCAAAAGUUUUUUGUGUUACCUUGUUUUAUGAGUGAAUUUAGAUUAAUGAAUAAAAUUAUGUGAUAGUUGGUUUUAAUCCAAAUUAAUCUAAGAAUUGAUUCUAAAAUGUGUUUUUGUAACUUGUCCUCAAGUUAUAUGAAAAGUCACAUUUAAGAAUCAUAAAACUCAUAAAAAUUGGCAAAGGUUACAAAAAUGAAGAGUCUAGUUCUAAUUAAAUGGUUUUAUGACUCCAUAACUUGUCCUCAAGUUAUGGAGGACCAAGAGUCUCUUCAUUUAAUAAAAUAAAAUAAAAAAAAAAAAAGUGUAACCUUAAUUAAUUCCAUAAGUUAUAAAAUAAAGAAAAGUUAAUUCUUUUAUUAGUUUAAAGUCUUCCAUAACUUGUCCUCAAGUUAUGGAACUUGAAGAGUUUUUGGAUUAAAACUACUUUAAACACAUAAGUUAUGGAAUUAAUUAGUUUUGAAUAGUUUCAAAACUUGCCCUCAAGUUUUGGAAUUUGUAAAGUUUUCACUUAUGAAUACUUUAAUUCCAAGUUAGCCCUUAGAAUUUUAAAAGUUAAAAUUCAACCCUUAUACUUUAUAAUAUUAUAAGUUAAUAAUAUAUAUAUGUAUAAGAGUAAAGUCAGUCUUACCGCUAGUACGCCUCAUUCACGAAGCCGGUCUAUAAGGUGGGUAUAAGGUUGUUGCCUAUAAAAUGGCAACUUAAUGGGUGUCCACUCUCACCCACCGCUUGCUUGACUGGUGGAGGGUCGUUAGCCGAACGGGUUUGACAGGACUAGAAUUCUCCCUUCAUUAAAAGUAUUAAUGAUAAUACUAAGUAACUAAACUCUUAAUAAUACCCAAUCUUAGUUACUUAGGAAAAAUGUGAAUAAGGUGCUAAUCCAUGAAAUUACACUUUACACUUUGUCUAAGUCGUUAGUGGAGCGUGUGUGGUUAACCGGCACACUAACUUGGACUUAACAAGGUAGGUAAAGGGUGACUUAAUAUUUAUCAUAGUAUCGAUGGAGCGUGUGUGGUUAACCGGCACAUCGAUUGAGGGGUAAUUUAUUAAGGGUACCAAGUGAUUUGCAUGGUUACUUCACACCUUGUUUUGUGAUCCUCGGCAUCCCAGUCACAAAACCUGAAGGGCACACUCGAGAUUGAAACAUGCCUUUGAAAAGUUCAAUGAAUCUCAAAGAUCUAGGAGUUUCAAAACCAAUUAAAACCUAAUAAUACAUUUCGUUUAUCUUGGUGGAAAUUGGUGAAUCGUCAUUCACCUACCUUCAAAUAUUUUAUAGCUUGGAUUACGGCAUACCUCUUCUAAGUUAUAAAAUAGUUUGUUGGGUCCUAGCCUUAAUAUUUCAUAUUGGGUGUCAUAUUAAGGACUUUAAAUCAACUAUCUUGAAUAUCUCCCAAAAGAUGUCUGGUUUAGACACCUAUGAUCUUCCCAAAUCUCUUGAAACAAGGUUUCCUAAUGAAGAUGAUGUCCCAUGGAUAUCAUACUUCUUCACCUCUUCAAAUUAUUCUCCCUAACCCACAAGUUCUUGAAAAGUUUAAGGUCACUCAGGCCCUUUUGGCAAGGCAAGGUCUAGGUGUGGUCACAUCUUGGAGAUGUAGUCACAUAUUGACAAGCCGGGAGAGUUGGGUGUCAAAGUCUUGAGAAAGUUGGUGGUUCAACUACUUUCUAAGUCACAUAGUGAGUUCUUUUGGAACACCUAUGAAAAAGACUAUGACAAGACCCUUAAUGAUCUUAUCUAUUUGUUAAGAUCAACUUCCUAAAACUUUAUGGACAUUGACAAUGAUGACAUUGGAUAUCCAGUAAAGCAUUCUCUUCCCAAUGGAAAGGGAUCGGCUAUAGUCAACUCGGUUGACCAAAUGGUAAAGAGAAAAGCUAAGUCUGUGAUAGUCCUGUGUACCAUUAUCAAAGGGUCCAUAUGUUUGUAUUGCCAAAGAAAGGGCAUUGGUUGCGAAGCUGCCAAAUUUACCUAAGGAUGUUAAAGUCAAUAAGUUUGACUCUACUUCAGGUAAAAUCCACUAUCUAACUCUGUUAAGUUUCUAUUCUGAGAUUCUUGAUACAUGAUGUGACCGGGUCGCAUGGUGAUGGUUUAAGAAUCAAAGGAAAGUGAAGAAACUUAAAGGAAGAAUAUGCUGAAUCUGAUCGCAUAGAUGGAUUUCUAUCGCAUAGUUUGAAAAAUCGGAUUCUUGAGCUACUUCUUAGGAGUUAUGAGAUAUUGCUUAGGAAUAGAUAACAACAAGUUUUCAUAUGGAUUGUAAGGAUAGUUUUUCCGCAAAGUUUUAAAAUAAAAGGAAAUUUUUGAUUUUAUUUAUUUUAAAAUAUCCUUACAAUGGCAUCUGUGGAAAUUUUUGUUGCUUAUAAGAUUCCAUUAGUAGCAAGAGUGGAAGUAUGAAAUUGAUUCUUUCAUUUGUGGUAAUGUCUAAAUUUACCAAAUAAGGAAAGAUUCUCAUCACCCAAGUUUCAAUUGGACCGGAACUUGGAAUCAUGCAAGUUGUAUAGCAUGAUGAAUGAGAACUUUCAAGUUUUGGAAAAUUAAGACUAAUUACUUGUUCACAUGGAUGUGUGAGUCAAGUAAAGGACUUAGGGAUCGAGUACACAUUCUUGUGCACUGAUUAAGUCCACCACUAAAGAUCGAUAAGAAGAAUCAAAUAAGGCAGAAGGAUAAAAGUUUCUCAAAUCUGAAAAGAUGGGAGAGUACUUUAGUAUCAGUUUUGUGAUCAUCUUAAUGAUUAAGAAACCAUAUCAAAAUUAGUUCUCUAAGGAAAUCUUAGUGCAUUCUUAUGACUAAGAAGAGGAACUUGAAUUGUUGAAAUGGUUAAAUCAAGAAGAUGAGUCAUACUUCGUUCCAAUACAAGUCUUAGAGUCAUACUCCAAGAUUGUCAUUUGAGUGACAUGUCUUAAAGAAGGUUUAAAACACUUGUCAAAUGUAAGAGUAAAAGUUUUCUACUCUUGUACAUUUGAAAUUGGUAAGUUGUGAUGUUUUGGAUAAAACAAAGACCAACUUAGGCCAAUUGGGUAAAGUGUUUUUCUUGAUUAGAAUCCGCACUAUCUCUUGGAUGUUUGACAAGGGAGUCUUAUAUGUCAAGAGGACAGUGGGAGUCUUAAAGGUCUUGAAAGUCUCAAGAACUAAUCAAGAAUAAAACCUGAAGUUCUUCACUAGCACACGACUUGAGGUUUAUAACCUAUCGUGUUGACAUAUCUGUGCCCAUUCCAGUUAAAGUUGGCUUUGCAUAUGAGUUCUUAGAGUUCUCAAUUUGUUGCACAACAACUUGGAAGCAAUGGCAGGCCCUUGAGCUGCCAGGUGGCAAGAAAUUAAGAUUGAGUUCAGUCCAUAUGAGUUUGGAUUUGUCAUUAUCCUUGUCUUGUGACUAUGGUUUUGACAAUUCACAUGGAUAAGAACACAUACACCAUUAAAUCUAAGUGUCAUAAGGUUUCUCUCCGAUUCAUGAAAAUGAUGGUGAGGAAACACUUUCACUAAGUAGAUUUUAGCUAGAUAGCAAUUGUGAUAUUUGCAUUCUCAAAGUCGUUAGUGGAGCGCGUGUGGUUAACCGGCACACUAAUUUGGACUUGUGAGAAGUGGCAAAAAGGUCUAAACAUUAUGAUUACGGCAUCCCUCUUCAUAAUUGUUUAGAUACACAAGUGUGCUAUCUAAGGGAAGGUGUAUGAUUUUGAUAAAGUUUUAUCAAAACAAUCUAGUAUCAGAAAUCUGAACUUUGGUAAGAAAGUCAAUGAAGUAUUGAUUUCUAGAAGUCCAGCUGAUUUCUGAGUACAUGUCAAAGCUAGUGGGAGCAUAAGUGUUAUGCUAAUAAUCAUCAUGUUAGUGGGAGCAUGAUAAUUAUGAUAAGUAUUGCAAGUUAGCAAUGUUAAUUAUAGAAAACAAAAGUUUCAAUUGGGAAAAAGUUGUUUUGCUAUAAUUAAGGGAGAGGAAAUUAUGCUUCAUCUCAAAUCUAUAAGCUUAGAUCGUGAGGUUUUAAUCAUUUAGUCAAGGAUAUAUAUGAAUUUCAUGUUGGAAUGGCUCAACAUAAGGAAAUUCUGUAUAUGGGUCCAUUAUUUGCGUUCUAAAAUUCGAUUAUGAUUACGGCAUCCCUUUUCAUAAUCUGAAUUAUGAGAACUUGGCAAAUUGAAAUGGAAAUAUUAUAGCAAAAGACUGGUUUAGUCUUUAUGUGAGACAUCAUGAAUCGUGUCCCAUAUGCUUCGGAUAUAGGAUCGAUUACAUGUGCUAUAUUCAUCCGUUCUAAAAUUUUCCAAAUGCCUGGGGCAUUAAGAAGGGAAAAGGUUUAGAACUGGAUAUGACUAAAAGGAUUAAACAAUUGUCGAGGACAAUCUAAGGUUUACCAAAGAUUGGUUGCUCAAGGACAGUUGGAAGUAUAGUGAUAAUUCUGGAAGGACCAUAUUGACAUAAUCUGUAAGGAGGCAACUCUUGUUCAGAAGUGAUAGUCAAAAUGGAAUCUGGAAAUGUUUCAAAGUUAGAAUUUUCAAUCUGUUUAAGAUUAGGAAACUUAAUGCAAGAAGGAUGUUUCCAAGGAGCUGAUCUCCUUUGGAAUACUCUGUAAUGAUUGUUGUCAAGUCUUUCUGACUUUGUGCAUAAUCAUUACAAGAGGAUCAAUGCAUAUAAGUUUAGAAUCUAACAGAUUUCAGUAAAUGGCAUGAAUUUGGAAUUCUUGCAUUUGCAGUAAGGAUUUGGGAGUGUGAAAAGAGAAUCAUUGAAGUUAUGUUCAAUUGAUCUAGUUCACAAAGUAAAGAUCAUAGACAAACAUAGUAUGCAUACUUGGUGUGUGGCAUGACUAGUGUUUAAGAAAACAUAGUGUACAUGCUUGGAGCAUGGGACAACUAUUGUUUUAAAUUCAAGAAUAAAGUUGAUAGCUGAAACAGUAUACAAUGAAUAAUGUGUAAUCAUAUGGUGAUAAAUAAAAGGUGUUUUAUUUAUGUUCAUAAGUUUUGAUACCAUAUUGGAUUCAAUUAUUAUUGUGUUUCACUUUGCAUGUUUUGACUUCCCGAAUAAACUAGGUUAUUCUUCCGGAAUGACUAAGUUAUUCAAACCAUCCACAGUCGGUCAUAUGUUGGAAGUAGAUAUGAAUUAAGACUGUCAUGGGUUGGCUUGUAGAGGUCUAAGGUGUUGGACAAAGGGCUACAACACUCAUGAGUGCUCAUAAGUUCUGAGUAUUGGAUUCAACCCGCGCUCAUUGGAAUCACUUCAUGGAUUUUAUCACGAGUGAUCAUGAGACGAUAAUAUCUUAUAUUCUUCAAACCUAGAGAUAUGAGUUGUUACUAUGAGUUGGUUGUACAUUGAUUGCACGAAAACGCAUUUGGUAACUCGGUGCUAUAAAACGUGCCUUUGUGUAUGAUUCAACAAGUAGUAGAACAAGCCAUAUGAGUCGAAGUUUAUCCAUUCCUUUUACCUUCGGGAUAAAAGCGAUAUCUGUGGGCCCCUCGAUGAUUUGAUGAUGACAAAUGGAAGUGCUCGGCCGGGCCAGGACUGAUUUGAUUUGUUCAAUUAGUCAGUCGUCAUAAAUCGGAAAUCGGGAAACAACAAAUGGACAGAGAGAAUGAUUAUAAUCCAUGUCUCAGUCCAUAUGAUAUCUAGAAUGGAGGAAUAUAUGAUCCCUUAUCUAAUGGACAAGUUCGUUGACAAGAUCAGAGUUCGACAGCGGCUUUAAGAGCUACGAUUGCCAGUUAGGUUUGAAGUCAUACGCAAUAAUAGUUUUAGACUUAUCCAAGUGGGAGACUGUUGGAUUAAUGUCUAAGUCCAUAACUAUAUUUGGUAUGUACUUGACCCGACCCGGCAUGGUCCAUUUGGGUUGCACUUCACCGACACAAUUUAUAUGGAUAAUCUUUUGAGAAUAGUAUGUUUAUGAUUAAUAUUAAUAUAUUAUAAGUUCUAAUAUAUUAAUAUGGAAUCAUAUUAUUUAAUUAGUAUUGAUCAAGAAUUAAUUUAUAAUUAAUUAAGUGAUCAAAAGGAACUAAUUAAAUAUGGACUCUUAUAUAUAUGGAAUGGGCCAAGUUCAUUUAGGUUGGGCUAAGCUUUCAUGGAUAGUCCAUGGAGUGUUUAACCCAUGGAUCCUAGGAAAUGAAAGGUCAUGGGUAUUAGGGUUUAACCCUAAUCCUCCACACUAUAUAAAGAUGUCAUUGGUUGGUGAAAUUGGCACUAGUGUGGGUACACUAUGAAGGGCUAGCCGAUUUCACUAGAGAGAACCAAGUAUCCAUAUUCUCUAAAGUCUUCCAAGGUGUUUUGGUGAUUUGUGAUUCCAUUUGAGGCUUCCACACUAUUGGGGCUAAGCUCUUAAAGCUUGAAGACAUCAAGCUACAUCAAAAGGUAUGUCAUCU
rnacentral:lncRNA from 1 species